CACGUAGUUAGCCGGUGCUUCUUCUACACCUACCGUCACCACCCGAAGAUGGCUUCGUCGGUGUCGAAAGAGGUUUACAACCCGAAGGCCGUCAUCCCCCACGCGGCGUUGCUGCGUCAGGCUUUCGCCCAUUGCGCAAGAUUCCCCACUGCUGCCUCCCGUAGGAGUCUGGGCCGUGUCUCAGUCCCAGUGUGGCCGGUCACCCUCUCAGGCCGGCUACCCGUCGUCGCCUUGGUAGGCCAUCACCCCACCAACAAGCUGAUAGGCCGCGGGCUCAUCCUGCACCGCCGGAGCUUUCCACACCACACCAUGCGGCACGAUGUCAUAUCCGGUAUUAGACCCCGUUUCCAGGGCUUAUCCCAGAGUGCAGGGCAGAUUACCCACGUGUUACUCACCCGUUCGCCACUCAUCCACGGUGCAAGCACCGCUUCAGCGUUCGACUUGCAUGUGUUAAGCACGCCGCCAGCGUUCGUCCUGAGCCAGGAUCCAAACUCU
rnacentral:rRNA from 1 species